UACGAGAGGUGCAAGCGUUAUUCGGAAUAAUUGGGCGUACAGGGUGUGUAGGUGGCAUGUUAAGUCAACUGUUAAAUCUUCCGGCCUAACCGGAAAUCUGUGGUAGAUACUGAUGUGCUUGAGGAUGGAAGAGAGAAGUGGAAUUCUCGGAGUAGCGGUAAAAUGCGUAGAUCUCGAGAGGAACACCAAUGGCGAAGGCAGCUUCUUGGUCCAUACCUGACACUGAGACACGAAAGCGUGGGGAGCAAACAGG
rnacentral:rRNA from 1 species